rnacentral:rRNA from 1 species
GAUGAACGCUGGCGGCGUGCCUAAUACAUGCAAGUCGAGCGAACAGACGAGGAGCUUGCUCCUCUGACGUUAGCGGCGGACGGGAGAGUAACACGUGGAUAACCUACCUAUAAGACUGGGAUAACUUCGGGAAACCGGAGCUAAUACUGGAUAAUAUAUUGAACCGCAUGGUUCAAUAGUGAAAGCCGGUUUUGCUGUCACUUAUAGAUGGAUCCGCGCCGCAUUAGCUAGUUGGUAAGGUAACGGCUUACCAAGGCAACGAUGCGUAGCCGACCUGAGAGGGGGAUCGGCGCCACAGGAGCUGAGACACGGUCCUGGCACCGACGGGAGGCAGCAGCAGGGACUCUUGCGCAAAGGGCGGAAGACUGCAGGAGGAGCGCCACGUGGGUGAUGAAGGUCUGCGGAUCGGAAGACGCUGUUAUGAGGGAAGAACAAAUGUGUAAGUAACUAUGCUCGUCGUGACGGUACCUAAUCAGAAAGCCACGGCUAACUACGUG